CAAACUCAAAAAAAUUGAUGAAUGCUCAGGCCUAAAAUAAAAGAUCCACACUCGAGUUUAAGUUCACACUGAACAUAUACUGAUGCACUUUAAAAUGAUAAACUGCCCCAAUCCCACUUCACAUACAUGCUUAUUUUUAACUGUAACAGCUUUGUAACGAUAGCAUACUACCAUGAUUUGAGUCCAUAAACAUAUCAAGGAUUCAAAAACAAUUGGCCAUUCUGCAUAGACCAGAUCUAUAGGAUUGAACACAUGGAGACCAGUAAUUCUACUAACAACUCUAUUAUAAUUCAAAUGUAAAACUUAGAACAACAUAACAUCAUAUCAACAUGCUGAGUUAGCGGGAUUAACAUAACCUUGUGAUAAAUAACUACACAAUAAUAAACACUAAUAACUAACAAGACAGAAUAUGAUCUUCAUAUGUCUCCAUCACAAACACUUCACACUCCAUUUUUACAUGCUUAAAGUGAAAAGUGUAUACCGGUGGAGUAAAGAAAAUAAGAAGAAGGAGGAGUCAGCCACAGUAGAAUAAUGUCAGUUGCAGUGUUAACCCAGAAAUAAGCAAGAGAAAACCAGCCUUGAGGCAUGUUCAAACUAAUAGAAAUCCCAGACAAUGUCAGCAACCAAAAGAAAACCAAACAGAACCAAACAAAACUGUUGAAAACCAACCAAAAUCAAGUCAUUUUAACCCUUAAAUAUCUAGAAAUGAUUUUAGAAGUAGGAGCCUAAAAGAUCUCCAAUUUUUCAAUGGAACAUUGUUCUCUUAACUAUUUUCAGUCGGUUGGUAUAUUUUCUGAUUUUCUAGCUUCUCAAAAACCUCAAUUGAGCUACAAGUAACUAUGCCUUUAUAUGCAAGUUACUAGGGCAUCCAUAGGGGUUUUGAUUUUUUCAUUUUAAACCUUCUCCUAUUUUCCCUUUUGCUAGUAAGUCCCUUAUUUUCUGACUUGUUGAUCAAGCUAGCCUACUACAAGUCUAAAUUUCGAUUAAAAACCCCUACCCUAGCUUCUUAUUUAGUUAUUAAGAGAUUUCCUACCAUAAACUUGAUAAAUUACCCCUGAAACCUUGUCAAUUUGCUUUUCUACUUAUGCAGACAUUAGGUCUAAAUGACCAAGCCACUGGGUCUACACAGACCCAAGUUGAAUCCUAGAUUAGUCCUCUACUCUUUGAAGCCCAAAUUUUGGUUGAAGUGACCACAAGUCACAAACGGGUAAGCCCAUAGCUCAAGUGUCAAAGGAGACUAAACAACCCACAACAGAAGAAGGGCCAGCGAGAGAGAGGACUAGUAUGAAGAACUCAGCUGAUUCGAAAACGACAAACAAAUUCAACUCACCUAUCAGCAAUUAUGACAUAAAUGUGUUCAAACAGCAGAACUUGAAUGACUACUUACCAAUUUUAGUACAAAUUAACAAAACAAAAUAUGUUUUACCCUCUCAACAAAAUAAAAUAGAAUUAACUCGAAAACACUGCCCACACUAAACUAACAAAAACAUAGGGGAAAGAAAAGAUAGAAUGAAUAUGGAAAAAAUAGAAUUCAGACAGACAUGGUAAAGAUAUACCUAGAGCUGGAAAUCAUCGGCUUGAAACGCUUAUCCGACAAUCUCCGAUUUGACCCAAACCGGGCAUAAGUUACAUGUUCUCUACGAAAACACGCGACAAAUGCUAGUUCCGGGCCCAAUCGCUUGUGGAAACUCGAAAUCUGGAAGUCCUCCUUAUCCCCGCUUUUAUAUCCGUGACUGACCCCAUUUAAAGAGGAUUUUAGGAGAGGAGUUGGUGGACUGGGACUCGAGGGCGAACGAUGGUUGUGGGGUUAGUCUGUGGUGGUGUUUGGGGAGGCCAAUCGCAGGUUAGAAUGGUGGAAAUAUUAAUGCUGCUACGUUUAAUAUGAGAGAGAUGAAAGAGAUGAAAGAAACAGGGGUGUGUUUGGAACUGAAAUGGAUCUCUACAUUCGUUCAGAUACUAUUAUGAGACAAAAGGGAUAGCUCUAGGACCG
rnacentral:lncRNA from 1 species